rnacentral:rRNA from 1 species
CCUACGGGAGGCAGCAGUGAGGAAUAUUGGUCAAUGGGCGAGAGCCUGAACCAGCCAAGUCGCGUGAGCGAUGACGGUCCUAUUAAUUGUAAACCUCUUUUGUCGGGGAACAAAGGCGUCCUCGUGUGGACUGAUGAGUGUGCCCGAAGAAAAAGCAUCGCCUAACUCCGUGCCAGCAGCCGCGGUAAUACGGGGGAUGCGAGCGUUAUCCGGAUUUAUUGGGUUUAACGGGUACUUAGUCGGACAAACAAGUCAGCGGUAAAAAUGCGGUGCUCAACGCCGUACAGCCGUAGAAACUGGAAGUAGUGAGUGGGCGAGAAGUAUGCGGAAUGCGUGGUGUAGCGGUGAAAUGCAUAGAUAUCAUGCAGAACUCCGAUUGCGAAGGCAGCAUACCGGCGCCCUACUGACGCUGAGGCACGAAAGCGUGGGUAUCGAACAGGAUUAGAUACCCUUGUAGUC